UACGAAGGGGGCUAGCGUUGUUCGGAAUUACUGGGCGUAAAGCGUGCGCAGGCGGUUAUUCAAGUCAGAGGUGAAAGCCCCGGGCUCAACCCGGGAAUGGCCUUUGAGACUGGAUAGCUAGAGUGUGAGAGAGGUGAGUGGAAUUCCCAGUGUAGAGGUGAAAUGCGUAGAUAUCGGGAAGAACACCCGUGGCGAAGGCGGUUCUCUGGGACGGUACUGACGCUGAGACGCGAAAGCGUGGGGAGCGAACAGG
rnacentral:rRNA from 1 species